rnacentral:rRNA from 1 species
ACUCCUACGGGAGGCAGCAGUGGGGAAUAUUGCACAAUGGGCGCAAGCCUGAUGCAGCGACGCCGCGUGAGGGAUGACGGCCUUCGGGUUGUAAACCUCUUUCAGUAGGGAAGAAGCGAAAGUGACGGUACCUGCAGAAGAAGCGCCGGCUAACUACGUGCCAGCAGCCGCGGUAAUACGUAGGGCGCAAGCGUUAUCCGGAA